UGCAGAUACAAAUAAAUACGUACUGUUACACCCAUACUCUAAAAUGGGGGGUAAGAAAAUACAUGCAGUUGACUAGAGAUGACUCUUUGAAAGGUUUCAGAAGGGAAACUCCCCAUGCAGGGGGGUUGGAACUAGAUGACUUUAAGGUCCUUUCCAACCCAAACAACUAUGUGAUACUAUGAAAACUGGCCUUUGUAAGUAUUCAUCCUAGUGCUACCUACACUAUAUAGAAACUGGAUUCAUUAAAAUUAUGCUGUAGCAAGACUGCAGUAUUGUAACUUGCUGGAUUCACAAAAUACGUAGAAGCAAACUAAAUAGAUUUUCAAGAUUGAUUUUGUUAUUUGGCAAAGUUCUGUGUUAUUUUAUGCAAGAAUAUGCCUUUAUGUUCUCACAGUUAUUUUAGCCUGGCAAUUACUUUUAAAUUGUGAAUUCUCAGGGCUUUUACAGUUAGGAGCCGUAAUUUACUGAAAGUAUGCUAAUUACAGGCAGAUCCCAAUGUGCAUGUUACAGGUUUAUUAGUCUUUUUUGAAUAGCAGAUUAUUAAAGUUACAUUUAUUUUGUUCUGUAUUGCCAUUCAGAGUAUCCUAGGAUUAAACAUAAGUGGCAAUAUUGUUACUGUCACACUGUGAUUGUGUAAUUGUGCUCAUCAUCAGACAGAAAUAAGGAAUUUUUACUAAUUUAUUUAUGGAAGCUGUUAAUGUUUUUGAGUACAGACAGAAAAUAUUUUGUGAAUGAAGCUGUUCUUAAUGCAAAACAUAAUAUUUGUAAUCCGUACUAAUUUAAUUGUGGUGAAUUAUCUAAAAAUUGUUAACACUUUUAUAUACCAUAGUGUUUAUGCAGUGGUUUACAGUAGUCAUGGAAUUAUUUUUAUUACAUGGAAAUAAAGUUUUGAUCUUUAUUUCUGAGCUAUAUUGUGUUUAGAGACUCAAAAAUUGACACAGAUUUUCCUCUGUGAUUUAAUUUUAGCAUUCUUAAUCAAUUCAGGGUUUCAACUGUUAGGACUGGCAUUCACUGCUUCAGUUGAGAAAUAGGUCUAACUAUUAUACAAAUAAACUAUAUCAGCAGAGUGGUGCUUAAAACAUAAUAACUUUUCCAUUCUGUUGUUCUCUGUCUCAGAUGUCCUAAGAACAUACAAAAUGUCAGACUGGAGCUAUCUGUCAGUCACUGCACAUCUGGCAAAGCAAGCAAAUACAGUCUCUUACUAAGAAGUCUCAGCAUACAUGCUGUCCUUGCAUGAAAAGUUCAAUAAUGAAGGUGAGAAUAGAGUGGUGGAAUCAAUGCCAAUGAGGUGGAAGGGAGCGAGAGAGAAGGACAUGCACACAUGAUAAAUAUGUUGAGAUGCAUGCCUUAUUGUCCUCCAUGUGCCUUCCCAUGCAACUCAGGGCCUUGCACUUGCCCUGCAGGAACCACAUUUUUCAUCUAGGCACAUGACAGCACCCCAGCUUUGCUUUCUGAUGUCCUUAGAUUUGGAGGCAUCCUGUGACACCUGUGUGUAUGUUAGUGUGCCUCAGAACCUUCAAUUCACAUUUUGGGGUGCCCCAGAGUCCUCCACAUGGCUUCUGCACCCUGUGUUUUGUCCGGCAGUGGCCCACCAAAUUCUCCAUUUAGAUUUCUUCUCUCCUCCAGAGUUUUCUGUGUGCUUUUGGAUGUUCACAAUCAGCUUUUGGUUGCCCCAGGAGCCCUCUUUUGCCUUUCCAUGCCCCAGAAAGGGGGUCAAUUUCUCCAGGAACUGACUGGCCAACCAUUCCCUGCUGGACCGACAUGUAUGGCUCAGGGAAUGAUUGCUGAGGUGUCCUAGGGGCAGGGUGAGAAUCGGGGAAGGGGUCUGGACCCCAGAGCAGACUUGCUCCCUUGAGUUAAAUGUGUGACUUAGUAAACACUUGCUGUCUCAUUUUCCCUCCUGGCCACGGUUCUUUCCACGUGGUGGGAGUGUGAUGGAGCCCAGGGAAGGAGAUGACACACUCUGUGGGGUGGGUGAUGAUGGAUGGCCUGGUGUUGCAGAUGGGCCAGGGCUGGAGGAGGCCCGGGUGUGGACGAGGAGGCUGAUGGCAGCCCGGUGCCCAAAAAUCAGUACUGCAGUGCAAGAAUUGCACUCCGUGGUGCUGCCACGCUGUGCGUUGCCGUCCGCCGGUAACGCAGUGUGAUGCUGCAGUGCCUCCGGGAUGAUGCUGCUGCACUGGUCGAUGCCUCCCGGUACGGAAACGCGGCUGCCGCCGGGAAAACCGUGGAACUGUAGCACCGGUGCCGCGGAUGGGCACGCGCUGCCCGCCGGGAGCUGCUGCCGCCUCGUGCCCGAGUUGCGGUACUGCAGCACCAGCAAUGUAAGGGCGCAGCCGCCGUCUUCUCUGCUGCCACCUGCUGACCGAGGUUCCGUACUGCAGCUCGAGAGCUCCGCACGCACACAGUUCCGCUUCGUGCUCGCAGCUGCCACCAGCCGAACAAAAUUAAAGACGUCGUGGAGCCGUGAGUCUGACACAGGCCACUCUUACCCCAUCCGCCCGUGCGGGGCAGCUGACAUCUGGUGGGACAAGGGCGGGGGCAGGUGGUCUGAGGGAGCUGCAGCCCUUUAUUUUUUCUGUUUGUAUACCUGUGUGUAAAGAAAUACGUACAUGGAAAAAUCCACACUUUAUGUCCUAAAACUGCAAAUAAAUGGUAUGAAGAGCGUGC